ensembl:ncRNA K09F6.14 ncRNA
GUUUGAAGAGGGAUCGCAUCUGGUUGUUUGGAUGCACCUUGUUCACAUGAAUGAUGCAAUCAUCAAUUGAUUCGAAAUAAAGCAAACAGACUGGACAUGUUUUGGCACGAACUUGAGGGACAUGAGCGUUCAUGUAAUAGAAUGAAUUUUCGGUAAUUUCAGGAUCUUGUGGUUGGAGCCCAAAAUGAACAAUCUCAGUGUGACGAUUUCUACAAAUUUUGUCUGCAAAAUGAAUUCCGCAGUCACGACAAUAAGAGUUGAAUGACAUGUUAGAACCUUUCAGGACAAGGUUAAGAACACUGAAUGAAUCAGUUUUGAGUUGUAUCCCUUAAAUAGUCCCGAAUAAACUUAUCGUCAUUUU